AUGAAGCCGAAUUUUAGUUAAAAAUAUUAAAUUGGUUUCUGGGCUAGCUUACAGCUUAUAUUUAGUGUCAAAUUAGGCUUUCCUCAGGUUGCGGGGUGUGUGAGAUAACAUUGUCUCCCAAGUGUAGGAGCUAGAGAGAUAUCUUUGAAAGUAAGAUGCCAUAAACCAAAUUACCAAUGUUUAUGGGGGAGGAGGUGAUAGAGGAAGAGAGACAUAGGUGGUCACAUCUUUGUAAACAGAUGGUCUAUGUUUAUGAGGGACCAAGUGACAAAGAAGAUAUACGAUGUUUUUAGUAUAUCUUGUACCAUGUAAAAAAAAAGGUUUGAUGUGAUGCAUUCUGUGGAAACCUUUUCCAGUACUUCUGACCAUGACUAAUGUCUGUGGAAUGUGAUAAGGGGACAAAAAAACCUAUUUAAAGCAAUGUAAUUCUGUUGUUCGGGGAAGAGGACUGGGGACAGUUGAGUGUCUACAUUGGUCACUUAGCUGGAAUCCUCGCUCCCUUCCAUCGGCCGAUGUUAAGUAAAGUUUUGAACUGGUCUACCAAAACAGUUUGUGUGGUGUCUGUUUAUUAAGAAGCGAACCUGGUUUAGUAGUUAAGAUAAGUAGCUUUUUCAUUGGCGUAGUUAUGCAGGCCUCGCUGGGACCACAUCAACGGCUGACUGUGCAAGAGGUUGCGGAGGUUGCCGGGAUUGGAAGGGAGAUAACUGAGCUCUAUCGGUCCCCUUGUAAGACCGACUCCCUAGAAACUCCCGGUCACAUCUGUGAUCCUUCAUCAGAAAUUGAAUUGGUUCCCUGCCGAGGUUCUUAGCAACAGACAAAGAUCUACAUUCCCAGGUUGGAGGAGCUUUGCUGGGAGCCAUAAAAGCUAUACGAUGGGGGUGCUGGGACAAGAAGAAAUUGAAACUGUAUUGAAAAGAAACAACCAAGUGUUGCUAACAACAUGAACUGCUGUAAAGAUGAAAGAUCAUCAUCGCUGGAUACAUUUGAUUGACUGUGAACAGUUUGUGGAAACAAGGACGAUGGGCUAUUGAUGCUUCCUUUAUUCUGGGGUGGCCCAGCCCACAUGGACUGAACUUUCUUCAGAAUGGCAAACUUGCGGACUAACCUACAUUUAAAGGAUGGUACACACCUCCUUUUAAACAAGAUUGAAGUCAAACAUGACAAGCACAGCAAAGAUACCCUGACUACAGACAGUAAGAGGUCUGCAAAGGCCAGUUAAAUCUACCUGUUUUUGCCACAACCAAGGCACUGGUGUAUUUUAAGGAAACAGUAUAUUUGUGACAGGGCAUUGUUAUGUUGCAAAUGCAGUGUCACACAAGAGAAGCAUGAACCAGUUACACCAGCACAUGGGGAAUUCCAAAUGAAGCCGAAUAAAGGCUGAGCAAUUUUUAUGAUCCUUUUCCUGUCCUAUGGUAGUAUCUUAGUGUCACGUCCGGGGGAGGUUGGUGGCCAUUUAAAAUGUUUGGAGGGACUUGUGAAACGAUUGUCCACUAUGAAUUGAUUGGGUUACUAGUGUACUAUUAAUUUGUCUGAUGAGAUGCUUGUGGUCUUUCGUAUGUACUCAGCAAGGACUGUAGUUGUUAUCAAAAUUUUGAUAAAAGGAUGGAAUGAUGAAGCCGAAUUUUAGUUAAAAAUAUUAAAUUGGUUUCUGGGCUAGCUUACAGCUUAUAUUUAGUGUCAAAUUAGGCUUUCCUCAGGUUGCGGGGUGUGUGAGAUAACAUUGUCUCCCAAGUGAAGGAGCUAGAGAGAUAUCUUUGAAAGUAAGAUGCCAUAAACCAAAUUACCAAUGUUUAUGGGGGAGGAGGUGAUAGAGGAAGAGAGACAUAGGUGGUCACAUCUUUGUAAACAGAUGGUCUAUGUUUAUGAGGGACCAAGUGACAAAGAAGAUUUAUACGAUGUUUUUAGUAUAUCUUGUACCAUGUAAAAAAAAAGGUUUGAUGUGAUGCAUUCUGUGGAAACCUUUUCCAGUACUUCUGACCAUGACUAAUGUCUGUGGAAUGUGAUAAGGGGACAAAAAAACCUAUUUAAAGCAAUGUAAUUCUGUUGUUCGGGGAAGAGGACUGGGGACAGUUGAGUGUCUACAUUGGUCACUUAGCUGGAAUCCUCGCUCCCUUCCAUCGGCCGAUGUUAAGUAAAGUUUUGAACUGGUCUACCAAAA